rnacentral:rRNA from 2 species
UGGUGAGUGGCGGACGGGUGAGUAACACGUGGGUAACCUGCCCAAAAGUGGGGGAUAACAUUUGGAAACAAGUGCUAAUACCGCAUAACAACUACUUUCACAUGAUCGUAGCUUGAAAGAUGGCUCUGCUAUCGCUUUUGGAUGGACCCGCGGCGUAUUAGCUAGUUGGUGAGGUAAUAGCUCACCAAGGCAAUGAUACGUAGCCGACCUGAGAGGGUAAUCGGCCACAUUGGGACUGAGACACGGCCCAAACUCCUACGGGAGGCAGCAGUAGGGAAUCUUCCACAAUGGGCGAAAGCCUGAUGGAGCAAUGCCGCGUGAGUGAAGAAGGUUUUCGGAUCGUAAAACUCUGUUGUUGAAGAAGAAAUGCGUGAGAGUAACUGUUCCGUACUGACGGUAUUCAACCAGAAACCACGGCUAACUACGUGCCACAGCCGCGGUAAUACGUAGGUGGCAAGCGUUGUCCGGAUUUAUUGGGC